GACGAACGCUGGCGGCGUGCUUAGCGCAUGCAAGUCGAACGGAAAGGCCCUGCUUUUGUGGGGUGCUCGAGUGGCGAACGGGUGAGUAACACGUGAGUAACCUGCCCUUGACUUUGGGAUAACUUCAGGAAACUGGGGCUAAUACCGGAUAGGAGCUCCUGCUGCAUGGUGGGGGUUGGAAAGUUUCGGCGGUUGGGGAUGGACUCGCGGCUUAUCAGCUUGUUGGUGGGGUAGUGGCUUACCAAGGCUUUGACGGGUAGCCGGCCUGAGAGGGUGACCGGCCACAUUGGGACUGAGAUACGGCCCAGACUCCUACGGGAGGCAGAAGUGGGGAAUAUUGCACAAUGGGCGGAAGCCUGAUGCAGCAACGCCGCGUGCGGGAUGACGGCCUUCGGGUUGUAAACCGCUUUCGCCUGUGACGAAGCGUGAGUGACGGUAAUGGGUAAAGAAGCACCGGCUAACUACGUG
rnacentral:rRNA from 1 species